rnacentral:rRNA from 1 species
AGGGUUUGAUUAUGGCUCAGGAUGAACGCUGGCGGCGUGCCUAACACAUGCAAGUCGAACGAAGCACCUUACCUGAUUCUUCGGAUGAAGGUCUGGUGACUGAGUGGCGGACGGGUGAGUAACGCGUGGGUAACCUGCCCUGUACAGGGGGAUAACAGUUGGAAACGGCUGCUAAUACCGCAUAAGCGCACGAGAGGACAUCCUCUUGUGUGAAAAACUCCGGUGGUACAGGAUGGGCCCGCGUCUGAUUAGCUGGUUGGCAGGGUAACGGCCUACCAAGGCGACGAUCAGUAGCCGGUCUGAGAGGAUGAACGGCCACAUUGGAACUGAGACACGGUCCAA